GACGAACGCUGGCGGCGUGCUUAACACAUGCAAGUCGAACGGAAAGGCCCUGCUUUUGUGGGGUGCUCGAGUGGCGAACGGGUGAGUAACACAUGAUUAACCUGCCCUUGGCUUUAGGAUAACUUGAGGAAAGCGGGGCUAAUACCGGAUAGGAGCUCCUGCGGCAUGGUGGGGGUUGGAAAGUUUCGGCCGUGGGGGAUGGACUCGCGGCUUAUCAGCUUGUUGGUGGAGUAGUGACUUACCAAGCCUUUGACGGUUAGCCGGCCUGAGAGGGUGAACAGCCUCAAUGGGCCUAAGAUACGGCCCAGAGUGCUACGGGAGGAAGCAGUGGGGAAUAUUGUCCAAUGUGCGGAAGUAUGAUGCAGAGAUCGCGCGUGCGGGAAGACGGCUUUCGGGUUACAAACCGCUUUAGCCUGAGACGAAGCGUGUGUGACGUUAACAGGUAAAGAAGCACCGGCUAACUACGUG
rnacentral:rRNA from 1 species